GAUGAACGCUGGCGGCGUGCCUAAUACAUGCAAGUCGAGCGAACAGACGAGGAGCUUGCUCCUCUGACGUUAGCGGCGGACGGGUGAGUAACACGUGGAUAACCUACCUAUAAGACUGGGAUAAUUUCGGGAAACCGGAGCUAAUACCGGAUAAUAUAUUGAACCGCAUGGUUCAAUAGUGAAAGACGGUUUUGCUGUCACUUAUAGAUGGAUCCGCGCCGCAUUAGCUAGUUGGUAAGGUAACGGCUUACCAAGGCAACGAUGCGUAGCCGAACUGAGAGGGUGAUCGGCCACACUGGAACUGAGACACGGUCCAGACUCCUACGGGAGGCAGCAGUAGGGAAUCUUCCGCAAUGGGCGAAAGCCUGACGGAGCAACGCCGCGUGAGUGAUGAAGGUCUUCGGAUCGUAAAACUCUGUUAUUAGGGAAGAACAAAUGUGUAAGUAACUAUGCACGUCUUGACGGUACCUAAUCAGAAAGCCACGGCUAACUACGUG
rnacentral:rRNA from 1 species